GGUGAGUCGGGUCCUAAGGCGAGGCCGACAGGCGUAGUCGAAUGGAUGAACGGGUCGAUAUUCCCGUACCGGCUUUCAGCCGCCAAAACCGAGGCUUGGAGUACUAACCUCCGGGUCCGGGCUUACUGCUCCUUCGGGGGCGGGAUGCCCUGGCCUGUUGGGACCGAUCCUUGUAGUAGGUCAGCGCAGGAGUGACGCAGAAGGGUAGCCGGCCGCGGAGGUGGUCUUCCGUGGUCAAGCACGCAGGGCGUGGGACAGGCAAAUCCGUCCCGCAUGGGUCCGAGGUGCGAUGAUGGGGGUCUUAUGGCCCGAUAUCCGGUGAUCCCGGCUGCCGAGAAAAGCUUCGGCGUCAGGCUCAAAGCCGCCCGUACCCCAAACCGACACUGGUGGUCAGGUAGAGAAUACCAAAGCGAUCGAGCGAAUCCUGGUCAAGGAACUCGGCAAAUUGCUCCCGUGCCUUCGGCAUAAGGGAGACCCCCUGCGGUGAUGAGCGGCGGGGGGUGGCACAGGCCAGGGGGUAGCGACUGUUUACCAAAAACACAGGAGCGUGCGAAGGCGCAAGCCGCUGUAUACGCUCUGACGCCUGCCCGGUGCCGGAAGGUUAAGAGGAUCCGUCAGCUUCUGCGAAGCGGUGAAUUCAAGCCCCGGUAAACGGCGGUGGUAACUAUAACCAUCCUAAGGUAGCGAAAUUCCUUGUCGGGUAAGUUCCGACCUGCACGAAUGGCGUAACGACUUCCCCACUGUCUCGACCAGGAGCUCGGCGAAAUUGCAGUACGAGUAAAGAUGCUCGUUAAGCGCAGAAGGACGAAAAGACCCCGGGACCUUUACUAUACCUUGGUAUUGGCGUUAGGCGCGGAUUGUGUAGCAUAGGCGGGAGGCUUCGAAGCGGGUGCGCCAGCAUUCGUGGAGCCGCAAGGUGAAAUACCGCUCUGUUCUCGUUUGAUGUCUAACCUCGAACAGUCAUCCUGUUCAGGGACAGUGCCUGGCGGGUAGUUCAACUGGGGCGGUUGCCUCCCAAAGAGUAACGGAGGCGCUCAAAGGUCCGCUCAGCCCGGUUGGCAAUCGGGUGUCGAGUGUAAUCGCACAAGCGGGCUUGACUGCGAGGACGACGGUCCGAGCAGGGACGAAAGUCGGAGAUAGUGAUCCGGUGCCGGCGCACGGGCGCGGCAUCGCUCAACGGAUAAAAGGUACCCCGGGGAUAACAGGCUGAUCAUUCCCAAGAGUCCAUAUCGACGGGAUGGUUUGGCACCUCGAUGUCGGCUCGUCGCAUCCUGGGGCUGGAGCAGGUCCCAAGGGUUCGGCUGUUCGCCGAUUAAAGCGGCACGCGAGCUGGGUUCAGAACGUCGUGAGACAGUUUGGUCUCUAUCCUCUGCGCUCGUUGGAAUCCUGAGGAGGCCUGCCCAUAGUACGAGAGGACCUGGGUGGACGAACCUCUGGUAUGCCGGUUGUCACGCCAGUGGCACGGCCGGUUGGCUACGUUCGGAAGGGAUAACCGCUGAAAGCAUCUAAGCGGGAAGCCUGCUCCAAGAUAAGCAUUCCGUGGAACCUUCGAGUUCCUGUAGUCCCCAUGCAGAACACGUGGUUGA
rnacentral:rRNA from 1 species